GCUGAAGCCCUGUGGUCACCAUGGCAACCGCCAGAGCAUCACCUCCGCCAUUGGCAGAUCUUGCUGCUUUGAAAUCGGAGACCAAGGCAUCGAGGCGUUAUUGGAAGUGAAGGGUCAGCGCCCCAUACCUUUCUCAUUUGAGAAAGGAGAGGAUUCCAGGCAGAGCAUGGGCAGGGGCGCAAAGAAGAUAUAAAAGGACCCAGAUUCCGUUCCCAGCACCCAGAUAGCACCUCACAACCACCUAUAACUCACAUCAAUCACGAUAGAUAAAUCCCUUUUUAAAUUAAGUAAAAAAAUAAAAGCAUGUGUACUUAAAA